ACACAAAAUGCUCCUAUUCUUAUAGUCAUCUACCGACAGGAGACAAGGUAGGGAGGGUGAUGGUGUUGGCAACAGCAUGGAUUGCAAAGAGUGAAGAGAGUGUGAGAGUGAGUGUCAAGAUUCAUGUGCAGGGUGAUUUUAUUUAUCAAGGGUUUUAUUAUUUGGUGCUUUAUAAAUUUAGCUGAGAUCUUUCAUUUCAUUUACUUGAGAUUUAGUAGGGAAUAGGUUAGAUACUUCUGUUUGGGUAUCUUAUGUAAUCAAUGUGAGACCAAGG
rnacentral:lncRNA from 1 species